rnacentral:lncRNA from 1 species
AGUUCUGCAGCACCCUCUGUGGCAGCUGAGAGCAGGCCCUCUGCAGAAGAGAGCCAGGGGCAUGGAGAGUUCAGGCCUCCAGCAGAGGGAGUGCAGAUAUGGGGAAAGCUGACCCCUGGAGUCAGCAGGCCCAGCCCUAGGAGGGGGCAGUCCCACAGCAGGCUCACACCCUGCCCUUCAGAGUUGCAGCAGCUAAUGCUGAUGCCAGGACCUUGUCCUGCCAGGAAGCCUCUGAUUAGGGCUGUGAACCAACUUCCUUUUCACAUCUGCAAGGACACUUGGAGGCAACUGCCCAAGGCCACUCUGAGGAGGGUUGAAUGUUCUUUAUUAAAAGGACUGAGGAUCAUGUGUGUUGGUGGGCCUUGGACUCUG